ensembl:lncRNA
UUACGGGCCGUCUCCCGUUCUCUAGCAGUCCGCUGAGAGGAGAGUAGCAGGGCCCCGGGGCGUAACGAGGAAGACACCCAAGAGCUCCAUAUGAAUGCUCAGCCAUUGCACGUCAUUACUCACCGGGGAUGUCAACGUGGACGUCGACUGGGAGCAGAAUGAAAACGCUGCAUCGCUCACAAUCUGACAUCCUGCACUGCCCGGAUUUCAUUUGAAUUCCCUCCCACUCGAGAGGCCAACACGGGGUCACUUGAUCUGGGACCAGGACGGAAAUCAAACAGCCUGGCUUCAGGGGGAGACCUCCCCCCCACUCCUCCCCUGGACUGCCGCAUUGGAAGUCCAUCACCGGGUCACAGCCUCAAUCCGUCACUGUCGGCUGCAGCUAUCAAGAGCAGGUCCAAGGAGGGGACGGGAGUGACUCAGGACUGCGGCGCUCCAGUUCAGUCUUCGGGGUCGGACGCUUGAUGAAUCUGUUGUUGUAUUUUUUAUUUUUUUUCUCCUCGUCCAGUGCCCUCAUUAAAUCUACACCAGCCGCACGGCAGAUGAUGCGGUUUGAAGAUGAGUUGCUUUGAAACAAACAGCAUGUGAACUGCAAAUCAAUUUUCAAGCACAAGUUUGUUAUAUUUUCAUUACAUGAAUUUUGAUGCGAUUUGAAAUGCAAAUAUAUGGCCUGUUCUUCCUGGUACACAACAAGACUAAAUCUUUGCCAAGACCGGCAAUCAAACAGCUUAGUGCACUAAAAAAGAUCCCCCCCGGCCUCCCUCCCUCCCUCCUCCACUAUCUGCAGUGAAGGUCCAGGUUAUAACCUCAAUCCCUCACUCUGAGGUUGGAGACGGACUGUGUUCACUUUCCAUUUAGCCACCUCUUAUGUGCUCUGAAUUCAGACUGAGAUUGCAUACCAGGAACCUUGAAGUCUUUGAGUUAAUCCAGAGUGAAUAUAGACCUUUGAAUAUAUUUUUUCUCACCUGGCAUCCGCUUGAAACUACAUUCCGAUUUUCUGGCAGGAGUCUGUAACUUUGUACAUGCCGUAAAUCAAUGGUCUGUUUUAACCACCCACCACUCCUCUAAUUUAAGGGUUGUGCCAUCACAGAGGAGCACAGCAUUUCAAAUUCUGGCUAUGUUCACAUGUUAUUUUUGCUCUUUAAUAACAACUUUCCGCCCAGGGGUGGGAUUAUCUGUGACGAGGGGUGAACCCAGUUACACGGCAGAGAGUCUCCUUUUGGAUUUCACAGCAGACCUUUCUCUAAGGGACGAAGCUUCAAUUUUAACCUGACAGAGGGAUUCAUAUCUUUAUUUUUACCGUGAUUCUUCAGUCUGCCAAUUCCACCUGUAAUCAAAUCUCUUGAAAUGGGCAUUAGAACACUUGACAAGCUCAGUUUAACACACACUGUGACUACAUGUCCUCCUCCACAAAAGUUUUUGCGCUGCCAUAAUCCCAAAACCGACCUUUUAAUCUAAAAAUAACGGGGGCCACAACAGGAUCAAACACAAAAUGCAAAAUGAUCCUGCAGGCUUUGAACUAGUGACCGUUAUUAAAUGAUAACAGCCAGCUAUAAAUACUCAGGACAUUGAAUCUGUGGAAGGCAAUAACUUUGUGAAGGCUGUUGGAAGUCUAAAUUUAAUCCAACCUGCCCCCUACGCUCCUCUUGUUUUCUCACCCUGAGUAGAUGCUGUUUAAGUGUGAUGAUCUUUGCCAACGGGAAGGAGAAAAAAAAAAAAAAUCACACCAAACCGGCCGCAAUUGACUGCUUUGACAUGAGCAGACAUAUUAGAACAAGGAGAGAAACGCGAGGUUGUGAGUCACACUGAAAAGCACCUCGACACAACUACAGACGAUUGUACAAUUAAAAGUCUCAAAAGUUUCCGAGCUUUUUAAUUAACAUUAUUACUGGCUUGAGUUGGGACUGUAGCCUCGACUGGAGCUGGACGGUUUGCUAUCAGAGAGCGAUUUAAAGGACCCAUCAUAUGCCCAUUUUACCACAAGUUGAUAUGGUCCCUUGAGGUCUUAAUGAAAUGUCUGUAACAUACUUUCGGCAAAAUACCACAAGGAUCCUUAAAAACAGCACCCUGACUAAAACUAAAGCCCUCCACAGAGUGACCCGUUUUGAGUGGCUGUUCCUUUAAAUGCUGAUGAGCCGGCUCUCCGCUCUUCAGGGGCCAUGUGAGAGAGACUCCCAUUUCAUUGUGAUGACAGAAUGAUAUGGAAGUUCAUUCGCAGUCACUCAAGCAUGACAUUUCUGACUUACAAGAACCAUAACAAAUCACGGGAGUUGUUGUUUUUUCCCCCCAGAGUUUUGGGGUCGGUAGACAUGCCAAGAUAACCAAAUUAACAUGUAGAAGCACUAAAGAAGUGGAAUUUUUAUAAUAUGCCCUUUAACGUUGGAGUUCAAAAUCCCAAAGUGGUGCCUUUGUGAUUUACUUAGGGGGAUGGCAAAUGAGGAGGCCGGUCUGUCAUGAGGUGGCAGACUCAUAACUCACCAUUCCCCGGUGCUCCCCAGGAGAAAAAAGUGCCAGUUUUGUCAAGCGCUACAGAGACCCCGUGCAGACGGACUCUAGUUUGCCCCGUCUCCGGAUAGCCCUAUCGUGCAGACGAACGCACUGUAUCCGCACACUGUAUCCGCACUCCCUCGAAUCGGGGGUCCAAAGUGAGUAAACUCAAAAUCCGAUUGCUGUUGGUGUUCGUCUGCACGCUAUCCGCAUAAUCGGACUGCCCCACGUGAUUGCAUCACGUGAUUGCAUGCAACCUCACGCUGAACCCUUAUUAACCCCAAUGCGUCACUUCAUAACAACGACAACAAUGGCGAACGCAAGGAUAAUGUGCCUGCUGAAUGUGCUAACAAGUCUACAAUGCGUACUACGGGAAUAUCGUCAGAUCUUUUCGUUUGUAUACGGCGCGCAUGUCUUAUACGCAUGCUCCUGUCUUCUCCUUCCGUUUUCUUCAGUUGUCUGUAGCACCUUAAAGCGCCACCAACAGGCGUGGGGGAUGUACUACAGCGGAGUCAAUCGGAUUCACUGGGUUCAUGUGCACGCAAAGUGGGUAGGUGUGAAAAAUGAACCCGGGUUCAGGCAAACUAGAGUCCGUCUGCAUGGGGUCAGAGUUGGAGAAACCCCUUUGCAACGGGCAUCUUGGAUCCAUCGGGACAGGUCACAUUCUAUUCAUACAUUUCCAAAGCUUCUUAAAGCUUGAGAUGUUGUUCAAGAGGAUUCACUUUCACUCCACUACCCCCCCCCACCGCGCCAAGAGCUUCUGGAUCCUUUACAUCUGAGACUUAAAGGUUGGGGAAACAAAGGGUCUUCUAGUGUGUCAUUGUUCAUUAUCUGACUUUCCAGGGAGAGUCAUUUACUGCAUACUGAUGUAGGGCCCAAAGUCCAAAGGCAACAGAUGUAUCAUAUCCCAUCAAAAACCAGUAAUAAUUGGCCUCAAAAACACAGUAUAAAACAGGCGAUCCUUGGUCCGAAACACCAGAGGUGAAGUUAGUUGCAGUUCCAACGUGAUUGAUACUUUCGAUAUUCUUAAAGGAUUUGCAGUCUUAAAGCUUUUGUAGCAGCAAAGUCUUGAUGCUCAUUACAGACAGCAGCAGAGCCAGAAAGAUAUCUGCCACUGGUACUUUUGGGGGCUUUUGUGCUUAUAGUAUUUAUUUUUGUGGUUUUUACAGCAGUGUGAAGGCAGGCUUGUAAUGUUGCUCCAAUUAUAUGGUCCGCCCAAAGGGAAGAGCAACGAGGCUUGCUUGAGCAUCUGCUGCUUUUUGAUGCAGUUGCUGACCUCACACUGUCUCCCCCUCUGGUGGAUUAUUUAUCAUUAAAAUAUACAGCAAAACAAAAUUCCAAGAUUAGCGCUUUCAACUAUGCAACAAUGACAUACGCACCAGUAUAACAGUUUACGUAACUGUAACGUGCCAUUUGCAGUCGGAGCUCUUCAACGAUCCCCGCUGGAAUGGGAAACCAACGCCGCGCAUGCUGUCGGAGACCCAGAGAACCAGGGAAGAGGGACAAAGGAGAACCAGAAGCAGUACUGCACUGAUUAAACUAUUAGACCCUUGUUGAAGAAAAUGCAAGGUUUUUUAGUCAUGUAGUUUGAAUUGAAAUGUUAUUUUAAAAAGAGAGAGGACCAGACACAAACUCAGAAUCAUCUAUGGAAUCAAGCAGAAGAUAUUGAGAGGAUGAGUAUUUAUAAAAUGGGUCACAGCCACUAUCCACAGUGUCAGUAUGAAGUGAGUCAUGAUGGGACCGGAUGAAGCCACAAAAGAACACACAUUAGGACAGGAAGGAAAAAUGAUCUCAUCUGUGGUUUACCAAUACUUAAAGCGCUUCUAAACAGUGAACGGUAAACAAGUGUGAAACACUCAUAACUCAAAAUAGCUUUCAACGGAUCAUCAGUUUAAAAUGAAAAUAACAUGAUCCCCUUACAUCUCAUGAUAGAUUGAAGGUUUGAGACUUAAUUUCCGUAAACGUUGUGCUGUCCAACUUUUCGAAUUGAAAAUGCAUGAAAAGAGAAGUUCCAAGUCCCUGUCUUUGUCAUUGGAUUGUGGAUUGAUAUAAUAAUCCCUGAACUUGGAGCAGGUUUUCAGAUCCCCUGUCUGACUCACUGUGAAGUCAAGACAGGUAUUGCCUCAGAAAUUCAGUAAAAAGAGACACUUGAUCCUUCGGUGUCAGCGGAAAUGUUGUAGUGCUUAAGGCAUCCCAAAUUCUUUGAUUUGACAGCUGAAUGUGUUCCCUUUCAAUCCUGUGUCUCUGAUAUUCCUAUUUGUAUUAGUGACAUUUUACCCUGGUAUCAAACUCUUUCCAAGUGUCAUUCAUACGGAAGUUUGUUAUGGGUUUUCAUUGUUCUAUCUUUUGACCUUUUAAGAUUUACAUAUUGCGUCAUUUAAAAUUAAAAAUGACAAGGACCGUGGUUCUGUAGCAGAAUUCCCAAGCACUAUGCAGGCCCAACCUUAUUUCCACUCAGUAUACAUUAUGCAAUCAAAUAGACCGGAAUAUGUUAAUGAAGCCGACUGCAUUCCAGCGUGGGUCUCCUGCCUGGGCAAACAAACAUCUGCUAGUCGGCUGAAAAGGGAAAGAGACGGUCAACAAGAAAGAUAUUCAGGCUUGGCAGGUCUCGGCCCAGAGGAUUUUUUUUUCAGCGCGGUCCUCUGGCUGAAUCACAAAAUAAAUCCGUCUUGUAUCCAGAUGGGAGAGAAGGCCAUUACAGUGGCUGCAUGGUACACAGUGCUCCUCCUGACCUAAACAACCCCAUUUGCUUAACAGAAAAAUGAGCACAAGAACAUACAGAGCUACCCAAUUUUGUACUGUAGACCUUAAAAAAGAAUUCUUUUUUUCAUGUAAUCUCUAGCCGUAAUAAUAAUAAUACCAAGGUAUUGAGAUUUGUAUAGUAAACUGGAACAAGAUGUGCAGAGCAAUGGUCUAGCAGCGGCUUUUAGCAUUUAGCCAGUGGCGGCUGGUGGACUUUUAUUUGGUAGGGCCAGACAAUCAGUUUCAGUAAACAUCGCAGGAUGAUUCAAUGCAAAAAAAUGGGUAUCAAAGACGCAUUAUUACUUUGCAGUUAAAUAUUUAAGAUUUAUUCCAACAGUUUAUUGGCCUCGACGGACCAGCCGCCACUGCAUUUAGCCAAUGCUAUGCUAACAUGCAGAUGGCUGUGUUCACCUUGUUAUAUUAGAUGUGGAUGUAGACACAGUGACGACAUACAUUGCUUCUUGCAUGUUUUGAUUCCUCAAGCUCUGCAUUUUGUUCAUGUCCAUAAACCGAGAUGCGGAUGAUGAUCUUUUUUUUUUUUUUCUUGCAUACCGAAGCGACACAAGGGAGCUAAGCUUAGAACAACCAAACGUGGAAUAUGGCAGUUUUAGUUGUUGACAUGACAACAGCAUGGUAGCAACCCACCAAUCAUAAUCGAGUCAUCUGGUUAGAAUCAUUUGCCAUUUAGAGCUGGUGGGAAUAUCAAUAUGCUUGGCAGAUUUGUUCAGAAUCAAGACCUCAUAAACGUUUCAUUUCACAGCAAUCCAUCCUAUAUUUGUUUGAGAUACGUCAGUGAAAGAGAUUUUUAUGCAUACUUAUGAAAUAUACAGCACACCCUGGUAGUCUGGAUAAAUUGUAUUGUGAAACAACAUUUCCCCAAAUGUUAUUUGGUGGAGAGGUUCGUGCAGUUCGUGCAGGGGCAUUGUCAUAGUUUUAAUGCUGAACAACCUCAAGUAAUUGGACAAACAGAUUAUUGCCUCACUAUUUGCAUUGAGUUGCAUUAAAAAGAAAGAAAAAAUC